rnacentral:rRNA from 1 species
GCGGUGGAGCAUGUGGUUUAAUUCGAAGCAACGCGAAGAACCUUACCAGGUCUUGACAUCCCGAUGCUAUUCUAGAGAUAGAAAGUUACUUCGGUACAUCGGUGACAGGUGGUGCAUGGUGUCGUCAGCUCGUGUCGUGAGAUGUUGGGUUAAGUCCCGCAACGAGCGCAACCCCUACGUUUAGUUGCUAACGCGUGAAGGCGAGCACUCUAGACGAACUGCCGUUGACAAAACGGAGGAAGGUGGGGAUGACGUCAAAUCAUCAUGCCCCUUAUGUUCUGGGCUACACACGUGCUACAAUGGCCGGUACAGACGGACGCAAAGCCGCGAGGUGGAGCAAAUCCUAAAAAGCCGGUCUCAGUUCGGAUUGCAGGCUGCAAUUCGCCUGCAUGAAGUCGGAAUCGCUAGUAAUCGCAGGUCAGCAUACUGCGGUGAAUACGUUCCCGGGCCUU